AUACGGAGGAUGCAAGCGUUAUCCGGAUUUAUUGGGUUUAAAGGGUGCGUAGGCGGUUUGCUAAGCGGGAGGCGAAAUGCCGGCGCUCAACGUCGGAAGUGCCUCCCGAACUGGUGGACUUGAAUGACUCUGCCGUGGGAGGAAUGUGUAGUGUAGCGGUGAAAUGCUUAGAGAUUACACAGAACACCGAUUGCGAAGGCAUCUCACGAAGGGUUGAUUGACGCUGAGGCACGAAAGCGUGGGGAUCAAACAGGAUUAGAUACCCUGGUAGUCCACGCAGUAAACGAUGAUGGCUAACCGCUGGAUCCAUCGGUUCAGUGGCCAAGCGAAAGCGAUAAGCCAUCCACCUGGGGAGUACGACCGCAAGGUUGAAACUCAAAGGAAUUGACGGGG
rnacentral:rRNA from 1 species